UGGGGAAUUUUGGACAAUGGGCGCAAGCCUGAUCCAGCCAUGCCGCGUGCGGGAAGAAGGCCUUCGGGUUGUAAACCGCUUUUGUCAGGGAAGAAAUCUUCUGAGUUAACUACCUCGGGAGGAUGACGGUACCUGAAGAAUAAGCACCGGCUAACUACGUGCCAGCAGCCGCGGUAAUACGUAGGGUGCAAGCGUUAAUCGGAAUUACUGGGCGUAAAGCGUGCGCAGGCGGUUUUGUAAGACAGAGGUGAAAUCCCCGGGCUCAACCUGGGAACUGCCUUUGUGACUGCAAGGCUUGAGUGCGGCAGAGGGGGGAUGGAAUUCCGCGUGUAGCAGUGAAAUGCGUAGAUAUGCGGAGGAACACCGAUGGCGAAGGCAAUCCCCUGGGCCUGCACUGACGCUCAUGCACGAAAGCGUGGGGAGCAAACAGGAUUAGAUACCCGGGUAGUCCACGCCCUAAACGAUGUCAACUGGUUGUUGGGAAGGUUCCCUUCUCAGUAACGUAGCUAACGCGUGAAGUUG
rnacentral:rRNA from 1 species